rnacentral:rRNA from 1 species
CCUCAAAGCUGUCAUACGCUCCCGAGUUAAGAAGUGCCUAGAACGAAAGUAGCUUUACUAGACCUGACCCGACGAAAGCUGAGGAACAAACUGGGAUUCGAUACCCCACUAUGCUCAGCCGUAAAAGUUGAUAGAUCACCACACCAUCUAUCCGCCAGGAACUACGAGCGUCAGUUGGAAACCCAAAGGNCUUGGCGGUGCCUUGACCAUCCGAUCUAGAGGAGCCUGUUCUGUAACCGAUAAUCCCCGUUUAACCUCACCCCCUCCUGCAAUAUCAGCCUAUAUACCGCCGUCGUCAGCUCACCCUAUGAAGGACCAAAAGUGGGCAAAAUUGGUAAAACCCAGAACGUCAGGUCGAGGUGUAGCUAACGGAAGGGGAAGUAAUGGGCUACACUUCCUGAAACAGGAAAUACGAAUAAUGAACUGAAAUAAACAUUUGAAGGUGGAUUUAGCAGUAAGCAGAAGUCAUUACAUCCUGCUGAAAUUACAUGGCACUUAGGCACGUACAUAUCGCCCGUCACCCUCCCCAAGCUACCUAAAAAAUUUAACUUGCAAAGGGGAGGCAAGUCGUAACAUGGUAAGCGUACCGGAAGGUGCGCUUGGAAUAACCAGCAUGUAGC